rnacentral:rRNA from 1 species
CCUACGGGUGGCAGCAGUGGGGAAUAUUGCACAAUGGGCGCAAGCCUGAUGCAGCCAUGCCGCGUGUGUGAAGAAGGCCUUCGGGUUGUAAAGCACUUUCAGCGGGGAGGAAGGCGUUAAGGUUAAUAACCUUGGCGAUUGACGUUACCCGCAGAAGAAGCACCGGCUAACUCCGUGCCAGCAGCCGCGGUAAUACGGAGGGUGCAAGCGUUAAUCGGAAUUACUGGGCGUAAAGCGCACGCAGGCGGUCUGUCAAGUCGGAUGUGAAAUCCCCGGGCUCAACCUGGGAACUGCAUUCGAAACUGGCAGGCUAGAGGCUUGUAGAGGGGGGUAGAAUUCCAGGUGUAGCGGUGAAAUGCGUAGAGAUCGGGAGGAAUACCGGUGGCGAAGGCGGCCCCCUGGACAAAGACUGACGCUCAGGUGCGAAAGCGUGGGGAGCAAACAGGAUUAGAUACCCCGGUAGUC